AACGAACGCUGGCGGCAUGCCUAACACAUGCAAGUCGAACGAGACCUUCGGGUCUAUUUGCGCACGGGUGCUUAACGCGUGGGAACCUGCCCUUAGGUUCGGAAUAACUCCCCGAAAGGUGUGCUAAUACCGGAUAAUGUCUUCGGACCAAAGAUGUCUCGCCUUUUGAUGGGCCCGCGUUGGAUUAGCUAGUUGGUAGGGUAAAAGCCUACCAAGGCGACGAUCCAUAGCUGGUCUGAGAGGAUGAUCAGCCACACUGGGACUGCGACACGGCCCAGAAUCCUACGGGAGGCAGCAGUAGGGAAUAUUGGACACGGGGCGAUAGCCUGAUCCAGCAAUGUCGCGUGAGUGAUGAAGGCCUUAGGGUUGUAAAGCUCUUUUACCCGGGACGAUAAUGACAGUAACGGGAGAAUAAGCUCCGGCUAACUCCGUG
rnacentral:rRNA from 1 species